CCUACGGGAGGCAGCAGUGAGGAAUAUUGGUCAAUGGACGAGAGUCUGAACCAGCCAAGUAGCGUGCAGGAUGACGGCCCUAUGGGUUGUAAACCGCUUUUAUGCGGGGAUAAAGUGAGGGACGUGUCCCUUAUUGUAGGUACCGCAUGAAUAAGGACCGGCUAAUUCCGUGCCAGCAGCCGCGGUAAU
rnacentral:rRNA from 1 species